rnacentral:lncRNA from 1 species
AGUGUAGAGGCAUCACAGUAUUACAGUGUAGAGGCAUCACAGUAUUACAGUGUAGAGGCAUCACAGUACUACAGUGUAGAGGCAUUACAGUAUUACAGUGUAGAGGCAUCACAGUACUACAGUGUAGAGGCAUCACAGUACUACAGUGUAGAGGCAUCACAGUAUUACAGUGUAGAGGCAUUACAGUACUACAGUGUAGAGGCAUCACAGUAUUACAGUGUAGAGGCAUCACAGUAUUACAGUGUAGAGGCAUCACAGUAUUACAGUGUAGAGGCAUCACAGUACUACAGUGUAGAGGCAUCACAGUACUACAGUGUAGAGGCAUCACAGUACUACAGUGUAGAGGCAUUACAGUAUUACAGUGUAG